CCUACGGGGUGCAGCAGUGAGGAAUAUUGGUCAAUGGGCGCGAGCCUGAACCAGCCAAGUAGCGUGAAGGAUGACUGCCCUACGGGUUGUAAACUUCUUUUAUAAAGGAAUAAAGUGAGGCACGUGUGCCUUUUUGUAUGUACUUUAUGAAUAAGGAUCGGCUAACUCCGUGCCAGCAGCCGCGGUAAUACGGAGGAUCCGAGCGUUAUCCGGAUUUAUUGGGUUUAAAGGGUGCGUAGGCGGGCUGUUAAGUCAGCGGUGAAAGUCUGUGGCUCAACCAUAGAAUUGCGGUUGAAACUGGGGGUCUUGAGUAUGUUUGAGGCAGGCGGAAUGCGUGGUGUAGCGGUGAAAUGCUUAGAUAUCACGAAGAACCCCGAUUGCGAAGGCAGCCUACCAAGCCAUGACUGACGCUGAUGCACGAAAGCGUGGGGAUCAAACAGGAUUAGAUACCCUUGUAGUC
rnacentral:rRNA from 1 species